AGUCAUAUUUACAAUUUUUACAAAUGAGUUUAUUUUAAUAAAAACAAGUUACUCUGAGCAUGAUCUCUAAACAGAUUUAUGUGGGCUGGCACAAUCUGCUAUGCUAAACAUAUAUUCAUAAUGCUUAGGUCUGCAACCAAUUUUUUUGAGUGUGAUAACAGUCUUGCUUUGUAAAAGGAUACCAAAUAAUUGGCAGCAAUUCAGCUAAGGACACUGUUCUCAGCACCGUGCUAUUGAAAUUCUUUUCCUGGACAGAAUUGCCCUGUGGGCAUGGCCCUAAAUUGGAAGGACUCUGGGCUACUGGCAUUGGGCAGUGAACCAGGCAGACAGUUUAUAGAGAGAAGGAGACUGUAAUCUCCUUGAAGACAGAAAUAUCGCCUGACUCAGCCUGGCAGCUCCCACAGUGCCUGAUAUAAUACGCUGGUGCUCAAAAACCUGAUUGUUAAAUGCAUGAACGGAAGAAUGAAUUUCUGUAUCUGAAGCAUUUCCUUUCUUCAAGUCCUAAAGCAGAGGUUCUCGGUGGGCACAGUACUGCCCCCUGGGGGGCAUAUUGAAAUUUUGUGGGGGCAGUUUUUGUCGGGUAUUGUUCUCAUAUUGGUGCCAGUGUAUUUGUAUAGUGAAAAACGUAUUAUCUUUUAUUGAUGUUAGUAUUGUAUUUUAGAAUAAACUACUUUCCUCUUUUUUGCCUUUGUAUUAUUAGAACAUUACAUUGGUUUCUUGAAAUUAUUUGUGUAGUUUACAUUAUCUAUGAAUUUAAUUCCGGGAGAGUAAAGUGGUAUUCAAUUUUUGUUGUAAAUACAGAGUGUUGAGUAUGGCAGGAGCGAACACCUCUGCUUAUAAGAUCAUUAAGCUUUGCUCGAUUCUGCUUCCACAAGUUCUGGGAUUCUAAGACGAAACAUACAAAUAAAAACAAGCUGGUGUACGUUGAUUUCAACGAUCAGGCUUUCACUGUAAGCAACUGCAUAUUUUAGGAUUAACGUGGCUCAGUGGAGCGCUGAGUCGAAGCACAGCGGGUCCGUGACUGCGGUGGGGACUGAACAUCAAGGCACCACGCUCUCACACGUCCAGGCCCGUGACUCUACUACUCCACUGUGCUGAGUAGCUUGGAUGGUGCGUGGUUUCUCUUGGCUUUGGUUUGCACUUUUCUUCAUCCAAAAAAUGACGUGGGUGGUGGAGGGAAGGGGAGGUGGGAGGGGCAAUGACGCCGUCCCCGAAGCCCGGGUCCGCAGCUGGCCCCCUCUGAGGGGCUGGGUUCACACUGAAGCUGUCUGGAUUUAGGGACCACGGCUUGAAAAGAAAGCCCUCCAGAAAAGCGAGUCGUGAGGGGGGAAAGGAGGAUUUUCAGAGAGCAGAGGGACCCGAAGGUGGCUCCGUCUAGCACGGUGGUUCCAAGCGAGGUUGAACUUUUAGUGUCAGCGGGUGGAGCUGCGGCUUGUGCUGGAAUCGGGACCGGAGGCAAGAAGAGGCGGGGCGGCGGUUGACAGGAGGUGGGGCUUCGGGCUAGAAUCGAGACGGGCCUCGGGGAGGCGGGGCUUCUAUUGACAGUGGGCGGGGACUCCGCGGAGAGGAGGCGGGGCUUGGAUAGUACCGCCGCGGGGAGAUGGGGCUGACGAUAACGAGGGGCGUUUCUCGCGAUCCGGCAGUAACAUGAGGCAGACGGAGAGCCCAGAGGGCGGGGCCACAGCUGACAGCAGGCGGGGCUGCCUUCUGGAUGGACCUGAGUGAAGACCAGACUUCAAUCGAUAGAGGGCGGAGCUAU
ensembl:lncRNA